UCCGGCCCGCAGCACGGGGCUCGUGGUGCUGCGGUGUGCGUGAGAAACAGCAAAACGCAGCUUUUCAGACUCCCGGAGCACCGCUUCUCAACUAUGCCUGCCUCUCUCAUCCAUUGCCUCACUCUGAACGCUCGCUGUGUGCUCGUUCUUUCACCUUGCUCUUACUUGCGAGUCAUGUUUUCUUACCUUUAAACUACUUUUUUUUUCUUCUUCUUCCUUUCAGAUGUUUCAAGCUACCUCUUCUCCAAAGCAUCCAUCCUAACUCUCAGUCUCGCUGUUUCUCGUCACAAUUCUGAGAUCACAGAAGAGCAGCUGCCCUCACCUGUAGCACCCAGGUGCAGCACUGCUGUGUGCAAGAGAGCUGAGCGCUGCCUCAUCCCACCUACUGAGAACUUCCCUGCACAGCACCUCAUGAAUCUGCAGCGCCAAUGCAAAGCUCUCAGAAGCAGAAAACAUCCAAGGAAACAAAACUCCACGAUCCCAAAAGAUACACAAUUUGUGCUAGCUCAGUGGAAAAGGCAAGUAAAUAAGUAGGGGGUUGGUUAUUGCUUUCCUGAAAGAAUGUAAUAGGAAAGCAUCAUGAGAAGUACCAAAGCAGAAAUUUUGAAAGAAAAAAAGAAUAAUUCACUACUCGAGCUACCAUCCGUCCUUUUUCUGCUGUUCUCCCUACAUGCAUUAACUGUGAAUUAUUUUUGCACAUCUUUGCAUGUGAUGUGUCAACGUUUUCCCAAUAAACUGACAGAAAUGUCUAUUUGUGCACAACAAGAACAAAAAAUGUGGAGGAAAUAAGGGCUACUGUUUGUCUCAAGAUCAAGCUUGAGAUGAAUAUUAAAUGCUUUUAAUGUUGACCAUUCCAAAACCUAUUAGGUUUUGGAGCAUUUUGAAGAAAAUAAAGAAAAUACUGAAAGAGUUGUGUCCCUGCGAUGGGCUUGGAAAGGACUAGUCAGUCAGUCCGCAAGGAACCAUGCAAUGCAGAUCUUAUUUAAAUAACGGCAUAUUUUAAAAACUGUCUAGGAAAACAUGGGCAACAGAUCAGGUCUUUCAAUUUUGUUUCCGAAAGAGUUACAGAAAGAUCAUCUAUCUGAUGAAAUGCAGCUAGAAAACCUCUUCUGUAUCUCAUUUAAAAUAUGUCUCUUCUGAAAAUGUGCCUUCCAAAAGUUCAUAAAAGCCCAUUUUAGUCAGAUUGGGCAAGUAGGAGAAGAGAUCUUAUGCUGUUUUCUUUAUAAUGAUCAUUUUUAUUCCUUGGCCCCAUUAAGGCACUGAUAAAGAUGCAUUGGUCAACACAAAGGUUACGAUAUGAGAAGAAAUCUUCCACACAACCCGCAUUCCAAAUCCGCGCUCUAUUUCUGCCAGAUUAAUUAAAAUUGUGUUUUAAA